UCGACUCGAGCGAAGCGAGAGAACGUUGCCGCAGGCAACGGCCCGAAGGGCGAGGCGCUUUAGCGCCGAGUAAUCCUUCCCCCACCACUG
rnacentral:sRNA from 1 species